CCUGCCCUUAGACUGCAGGUUAUCACAUGUACAUCAAUAGGUGGCAGAAAGGAGAGAGGCUAGGUCUACACUCAGUGUUCAGACCUAUGAACAUCUGAAUAAUUAUAUUAAUUUUUAAAA
rnacentral:snoRNA from 1 species